rnacentral:rRNA from 1 species
AGUGAACGCUGGCGGUAGGCCUAACACAUGCAAGUCGAACGGCAGCACAGUAAGAGCUUGCUCUUACGGGUGGCGAGUGGCGGACGGGUGAGGAAUACAUCGGAAUCUACUUUUUCGUGGGGGAUAACGUAGGGAAACUUACGCUAAUACCGCAUACGACCUACGGGUGAAAGCAGGGGAUCUUCGGACCUUGCUCGAUUGAAUGAGCCGAUGUCGGAUUAGCUAGUUGGCGGGGUAAAGGCACACCAAGGCGACGAUCCGUAGCUGGUCUGAGAGGAUGAUCAGCCACACUGGAACUGAGACACGGUCCAGACUCCUACGGGAGGCAGCAGUGGGGAAUAUUGGACAAUGGGCGCAAGCCUGAUCCAGCCAUACCGCGUGGGUGAAGAAGGCCUUCGGGUUGUAAAGCACUUUUGUUGGGAAAGAAAAGCAGCAGGUUAAUACCCCGCUGUUCUGACGGUACCCAAAGAAUAAGCACCGGCUAACUUCGUG